rnacentral:rRNA from 1 species
UAACACGUGGGUCACCUGCCCCGAUGAUUGGGACAACCCGAGGAAACUCGGGCUAAUACCAAAUGUGCUCCUGGCCGUAAUGGCCUUGAGGAAAGGAAGCUUCGGCCUCCGCAUCGGGAUGGGCCCGCGGCCCAUUAGCUAGUUGGUGGGGUAACGGCCUACCAAGGCGACGAUGGGUAGCUGGUCUGAGAGGACGAUCAGCCACACUGGGACUGAGACACGGCCCAG